GAUAAAAAUUGACUCCCAGCGCGGGCUGUCCAUAUAAACGGAAGACGAAGCCCGCGUCGGGCUUUCGGAGAAGCCGAGGCGAACGGGAGGGCGGCGCCGGAGGUCGCCAGAUGCUUCCCUCCUGAUGGCAGACGCCUCCACUUUCGGCCCAGAUGAAUAAAAUGCGUGAUUGAGGAAGGAGAACCGAUCCGGCAUAUAUUGUCGCCCUCUUGUAGUUUCAGAACUUUGAACAAAGUUCUAGGGUUGUUCAUGGGCAUCCGAAUUGGUGACCGAUGAAAGAAAUGGAUUGGGUUCUUCAACUUUUUCUUCCGUGCUGGAUUUUGAUUUUAGGGUUACACUAGUAACAGAUUCCUAAGCGUCUUACUGUGGGUGUUAAUAUAUAGAGAUUAUUCAUGGUUGAAGGAGGGGAAUAUUUGAGCUGAUGUAAUCUGCCAUACUCAGAAUAUUGUAGAAAAUUUAGAUUUAAAAAAAAAAAGAAAAAAACUAAGAAGAAACUUUCAGUACUUUAAAGAGAGACCUCUCACUCGUGCAAUAAUGCACUGACCACUAGAGACGAAAGUUUGUAUAUUUGUUUUCUCCUCCUUUAGUAAAAUUACAUCUUUUGGAGCUUAGGAAUUGACCUCCACCACUUUAUUGUGUAUGAUGCUAACGCAUUAUGAGGUUCA